AUUUAUUCAUAUAUAGUACUUUGUAUCUUCUUUAUUUGAUCACUUUCGUAUUUAUUUUACUUCCAUUGAUUUGAACUCUAUAGAUCUUUCAAAUCUUAAUUUAUUCCUAUAUUUAUUUAUGUAUUUUCUACCUUGAUUCUACACAUGACUAAAGUACAGAACAGUACUUUAGUCCUGUGUAGUUGUUUGAAAAGCUGUCUAAAUAAAGUUGUAUUGGAUUGGAGGUCCCCUCUUUGAUAUGUAGACAACGCCCAGAGAUCCAGGUCCCCUCUUGGCAAUUUCUUUAAAAAUAAUUAAAAGUCACAUUUUCAGUUAUAUUAUGGUAAUACAGCUUAAAAGUGAAUUUUGUAUUGGGUUAAUUUUUUUUCAAAACGACCAGAAACAUAAGUCCACUGUUACCAGGUUCCCCCGACAGUCCCCUCUUCCCUCGGUAAGUGUGUGUGCCAUCCUGUG